rnacentral:misc_RNA from 1 species
GAUGAAGAACGUAGCGAAAUGCGAUACGUAAUGUGAAUUGCAGAAUUCAGUGAAUCAUCGAAUCUUUGAACGCACAUUGCGCCCCCUGGUAUUCCGGGGGGCAUGCCUGUCCGAGCGUCAUUACAACCCUCAAGCUCAGCUUGGUAUUGGGCCCCGCCGCUCCGGCGGGCCCCAAAGUCAGUGGCGGUGCCGUCCGGCUCCGAGCGUAGUAAUUCUUCUCGCUCUGGAGGUCCGGUCGUGUGCUCGCCAGCAACCCCCAAUUUUUUUCAGGUUGACCUCGGAUCAGGUAGGGAUACCCGCUGAACUUAAGCAUAUCAAUAAGCGGAGGA